rnacentral:rRNA from 1 species
UGGGGAAUCUUGCACAAUGGGGGCAACCCUGAUGCAGCGACGCCGCGUGAGCGAUGAAGCCCUUCGGGGCGUAAAGCUCUUUCGACCGGAACGAUAAUGACGGUACCGGGAGAAGAAGCUGCGGCUAACUACGUGCCAGCAGCCGCGGUAAUACGUAGGGUGCGAGCGUUAAUCGGAAUUACUGGGCGGAAAGCGUGCGCAGGCGGUUUUGUAAGACAGAUGUGAAAUCCCCGGGCUUAACCUGGGAACUGCGUUUGUGACUGCAAGGCUGGAGUACGGCAGAGGGGGGUGGAAUUCCACGUGUAGCAGUGAAAUGCGUAGAGAUGUGGAGGAACACCGAUGGCGAAGGCAGCCCCCUGGGCCUGUACUGACGCUCAUGCACGAAAGCGUGGG